rfam:Ornithorhynchus anatinus chromosome X1, whole genome shotgun sequence.
AGCAGCGUGGCUCAGUGGAAAGAGCAUGGGCUUGGGAGUCAGAGGUCAUGGGUUUGAAUCCCAGCUCUGCCA